UUCGAAUAAUUUUGAUAUUGUCUCAAAAUUAUUAAUAGGGGAAAUAAUUAAAGAAAAAAAAAAGAAACACUCAGUACAUGCAUUAAUACGAAGUCAAUAAGAGAUUAAUUCACCAAGUUUGAUCAUAUCACCAUAGAAUCCAUGUUCAUUACAUUGGUUGGCAGUGAGACCUUAAAAGAUUUUUUACUAAGAACUAUAAAUUAAUAUUAAAAUAUCC
rnacentral:lncRNA from 1 species